UACGAAGGUGGCGAGCGUUGUUCGGAUUCACUGGGCAUAAAGGGCGCGUAGGCGGUCCCGCAAGCAGUGCGUGAAAUCCCACGGCUCAACCGUGGAAUUGCGUUCUGGACUGCGGUUCUAGAGUGCGGGAGGGGGGUGCGGAACUCCAGGUGUAGCGGUGAAAUGCGUAGAUAUCUGGAGGAACACCGGUGGCGAAAGCGACACCCUGGCCCGCAACUGACGCUGAGGCGCGAAAGCGUGGGUAGCAAACAGG
rnacentral:rRNA from 1 species